rnacentral:RNase_P_RNA from 1 species
CCAGAUAAAUGACUUAUCGCUUUAAUUUAAUUUAAUUUAAAGAGGAAAGUCCGGGCUCUACAAGGACACAGUGCCAGGUAAUACCUGGCGGGGGCAACCCUAGGGAUAGUGCCACAGAAAAUAUACCGCCAUAACAUGGCAAGGGUGAAAAGGUGUGGUAAGAGCACACCGGUUCUAUUGGUAACAAUGAACGCUGGAAAACCCCACUGGGAGCAAGACUAAGUAGAGAUGACAUUGUUGAAAAACUAAAAGCCGUCCUUGGCUAGUCAUCAGGGUUAGUUGCUUGAGCUUAAGAGUGAUCUUAAGCCUAGACAAAUGAUAGGUUUAAAUGACAGAACCCGGCUUAUAGUUUAUCUGGCAAA